CGGGACUGCCCGUCCGAGACGCCCAAGGCAAAAGCGAGUUUUUCUCUGGCUUUCAAGAGAGGGGAGAGCAAGUGCUGCUCAAACCUGUUCCUCUCCAGGAAUUGGGGAGAGGUAGCCCGAACGAUGCCCCACGCGCGGCGGAAGACGGGCUGGUUCCCGAAGCCCUGUAUGGUCCCUCUGAUAACCACCGCGGCGGCUGUUCCUCACGCUGGAGGCUCAUUAGGGUUCCUGGGGCCAGUCCAAGAAAUUGCCAAGGACAAGACAGGCAGCCUCCGCCUGGAAACUCCGCGGAGCCCGCUCCCCUCAGAGGCCCUUCCUUCAGCGUGAGCGAGGGGGGAGCGCAGCGAGGUCACACGCGGUCCCCUUACUAGAUGGCUGUCAGUGUCUCAGGGUCCCGGCCUCUCCUGAGCCCUGGGGUCUUCGAGGGCCCAUCUUACUCCUCUUCCCCGAAACAGCCUUUCAAAUCCAGGCAAACCUUGGACGGCGACUAACUUGUUCUGCGGGCGUCCCACAAGACAGGCCGGCUUUUCUAAUAAAUUUUAACUUGAUAAACGAGCGAUGUCUUGCAACACAAGUCGACCGAGCCGCCGCAUGUCACGUGAUCACAACGGAG